rnacentral:rRNA from 1 species
UAAUCGCGAAUCAGAAUGUCGCGGUGAAUACGUUCCCGGGUCUUGUACACACCGCCCGUCACACCAUGGGAGUCGGGAAUGCCCGAAGUCAGUGACCCAACCUUUGGAGGGAGCUGCCGAAGGCAGGUCUGAUAACUGGGGUGAAGUCGUAACAAGGUACC